CCGGCACGGGUGAGUAACACGUAUGCAAUCCACCUGUAACAGGGGGAGUAACCCGGAGAAAUCCGACUAAUACCCAUAAUAUGGGCGCUCCGCAUGGAGAGUCCAUUAAAGAGAGCAAUCUUGGUUACAGACGAGCAUGCGCUCCAUUAGCCAGUUGGCGGGGUAACGGCCCACCAAGGCGACGAUGGAUAGGGGUUCUGAGAGGAAGGUCCCCCACAUUGGAACUGAGACACGGUCCAA
rnacentral:rRNA from 1 species